CUUUUAAUUGGAGGCUUGAAUGAAUGGUCGGACAUGGGGGAUACUGUCUAUCAAUCUAUAGAUGUGAAUUUAACUUUUGUGUGAAAAGGCAUUAAUAUUUUAAAGGGACGAUAAGACCCUAUAAAACUUUUACGUUUAAUUGUGGCCUCAUAACUUGGGGGUAACAAGAGGUUUUCAAGGUGCGUUAUGCUGGGGCGGCAGGAAUAUAAUUUGUAACUGUUCUUAAGAUGAAAUAAUAAUAAUUAGGAGUUGACCUUAAAUUUUAGGUUGUGAGAGUAAGUUACUUUAGGGAUAACAGCGUA
rnacentral:rRNA from 1 species